UAAGGAAUAUUGGUCAAUGGGCGAAAGCCUGACCCAGCAACGCCGCGUGAAGGAUGAAGGCUUUCGGGUUGUAAACUUCUUUGAUCAGGGACGAAAAAAAUGACGGUACCUGAAGAACAAGCCACGGCUAACUACGUGCCAGCAGCCGCGGUAAUACGUAGGUGGCAAGCGUUAUCCGAAUUUACUGGGUGUAAAGGGCGUGUAGGCGGGCUGACAAGUCGGAUGUUUAAUUCCCGGGCUUAACCCGGGCGGGUCAUCCGAAACUGUCGGUCUUGAGUACUGGAGAGGAUAGUGGAAUUCCUAGUGUAGCGGUAAAAUGCGUAGAUAUUAGGAGGAACACCAGUGGCGAAGGCGGCUAUCUGGACAGUAACUGACGCUGAGGCGCGAAAGCGUGGGGAGCAAACA
rnacentral:rRNA from 1 species